rnacentral:rRNA from 1 species
UACGUAGGGUGCAAGCGUUAAUCGGAAUUACUGGGCGUAAAGCGUGCGCAGGCGGUUAUGCAAGACAGAUGUGAAAUCCCCGGGCUUAACCUGGGAACUGCAUUUGUGACUGCAUAGCUGGAGUGCGGCAGAGGGGGAUGGAAUUCCGCGUGUAGCAGUGAAAUGCGUAGAUAUGCGGAGGAACACCGAUGGCGAAGGCAAUCCCCUGGACCUGUACUGACGCUCAUGCACGAAAGCGUGGGGAGCAAACAGG